rnacentral:misc_RNA from 1 species
UACAGAGGGUGCAAGCGUUGUUCGGAAUCACUGGGCGUAAAGCGCGUGUAGGCGGCACGAUAAGUCGGAUGUGAAAUCCCUCGGCUCAACCGAGGACGUGCAUCCGAUACUGUCGCGCUAGAGUGUCGGAGGGGGUGGUGGAAUUCUCGGUGUAGAGGUGAAAUUCGUAGAUAUCGGGAGGAACACCUGUGGCGAAGGCGACCACCUGGACGAUAACUGACGCUGAGACGCGAAAGCGUGGGUAGCAAACAGG